rnacentral:lncRNA from 1 species
GAAAGAUCUCCACUUCCACCAUCACCUAAACAGAUAUGGCUGUCAUUCUAGCCCCCAGCUGACCUCUUGCCUCUGCAUAUCUCUUGCUGGUUUCUCAACAGGCUGGCACGCCAUACUCAAAACCUAUACUUUCCACUUACCACAAAAUUUGUUCUUCCCCAUGUUCUUCCUAUCUUUUUCAGAGUCAUGAGCAUCCACAGAGUUGUCCAAGCCAGAAAUACUGAAGUCAAUCUAACUCUUCUCUCUUCUAACAAGUUAUGAUUGAGGCAACUUGGGAUAAUCUGCUCAGCAUUCCUUGUUUCUCUCCACACAGGGUAAACAUUUGAGUCACCACAGUAAAGCAACGGGACACUGUAUCUCAUGCCAGUGAAUUGGUCCAGGGGUAAACAGCUGAAGUAAGCUGAAUUUUGGACUUGGAACCACUGGGGACAUGAGGUUCUGUUUUUUUUUUUUUUUAAUGGUGGAAACAGCAAGAUGCAAGGCUAAAGCUAUUGGUGUUUCUGUAUGUUCUCUGUACGUUUCCCAUCAUACAGAGAAAACUAAUCAGUAAUGAGCUAAAAUGAUAUUGACAUGAAGAAAAGAUAGCAGAGAGAGACCCAGAAGGACUGAAAUCCCUGGUUAUUCAUAAGACUCAAGUGUCUCCCUCCUCAUCCUGAAACUUGAUUGUUCACAUGAAUGAAGUUCAGAAGGAUGAAAGCUUGGAGUGUAAGGGUCAGAGAAGGAUUACAGCUGAGACUCAAGAGAGAAGACCUGGAAAGAGGAACUGCACUUGGUUGCUGGAAUCUCAGAUCUUCAAGUUGGACAGCUGAUUUCCAACACAAUGGCCACCUCAGGAUUUACCGUGGCAAAGCUGCUUUAUAAAUUUUUGUUGAAUUAUUGAAAAGUUAUGCACGUUUUAUUCACUCAUAUAUACCCAAUGCCAAACACAUAGAAUAUGACUGGCAAAUAACUAUUGGCUGAAUGAAUAACUAACCCUAACCCAAAUUAUGACGAAUUUGGCCCUCUGCAUUCUUCCACUUGCUCUUCAGUGACUUAUUCCUUGGUUUCAACAACAUUCCCUUCCUUCCUUGUGAUAUUGUUUGAGGAGGAGCCUAGUAUGGUAGUUAUUUGCUCAGGCUCUAGAAACAGACAAACCCAUUUUCAAACAACAGAAACUCACUUCUACUACCUACUAGGUGAACAAUUAGUUUGACCUCUAGCCUCACUUUCUUUACUGGUAAAAGGAAUAAUAGUAUUACCCUGGAGAGCCGUUAUGAGGCUUAAAGCAAACACAGCAUAUGAAGCAUGUAGCCUAGUACCUGGUGAGAUACUGGUUCAAUGGUAAAGAAUCCUCCUGCCAGUGCAGGAGAUGCAAGAGAUGCAGGUUUGACCCCUGGGUCAGGAAGAUCCCCUGGAGAAGGAAAUGGCAACCCACUCCAGUAUUCUUGCCUGGUGAAUCCCUUGGACACAGAAGCCUGGCAGACUACAGUCCAUAAGGUCUCAAAGAGUCAGAUAUGAUUGAGCGCACGUGCACAACAAUGACAGACCCUGGUCAGCACUAAGUCAAGUUGAUACAUCACAUACAGUUACUUAACUGCACCCCUGUUUAAGCUGUGUAUUUCUCCAAAUAUUAAAUGACCCAAAACUACCACCCCACCACCACACACACACACACACACACACAUGCACAAAGUGGUUUUCAACCCAUUUGCCAGUCCCUCAGAGAUUCUAAUGGGACAAAGUAGGUGAUUAAAUAGUUAAUCCCAUUUGGGUACUGUAAAACAGGAAGAGUGUGGGAGACUCCUCUAAGUUAAUAAUUACUCAAGAAAGUAUGUUUGGGCUUCUGUGGUGGCUCAGCAGUAAAGAAUACAAAGGCCAGUGCAGGAGACAUGGGUUGAAUCCCUGGUCCAGGAAGAUCCCACAUGCCUCAGAGCAACUAAGACUGUGCUUCCCAACAAGAGAAACCACAAAAAUGAGAAGACAGCACACCAUGACUAGAGAGUAGCUCCCGCUCGCUGCAACUAGGGAAAAAGCUUUCACAGCAACGGAGACCCAGCACAGCCAAAAAUAAAUAAAGAAAAUUAUUAAAGAAAAAAAAAAGA